rnacentral:rRNA from 1 species
AUUGAACGCUGGCGGCAGGCCUAACACAUGCAAGUCGAGCGGAUGAAGGGAGCUUGCUCCUGGAUUCAGCGGCGGACGGGUGAGUAAUGCCUAGGAAUCUGCCUGGUAGUGGGGGAUAACGUCCGGAAACGGGCGCUAAUACCGCAUACGUCCUGAGGGAGAAAGUGGGGGAUCUUCGGACCUCACGCUAUCAGAUGAGCCUAGGUCGGAUUAGCUAGUUGGUGGGGUAAAGGCCUACCAAGGCGACGAUCCGCAACUGGUCUGAGAGGAUGAUCGGUCACACUGGAACUGAGACACGGUCCAGACUCCUACGGGAGGCAGCAGUGGGGAAUAUUGGACAAUGGGCGAAAGCCUGAUCCAGCCAUGCCGCGUGUGUGAAGAAGGUCUUCGGAUUGUAAAGCACUUUAAGUUGGGAGGAAGGGCAGUAAGUUAAUACCUUGCUGUUUUGACGUUACCAACAGAAUAAGCACCGGCUAACUUCGUG